rnacentral:rRNA from 1 species
CACGUAGGGGGCGAGCGUUGUCCGGAUUUAUUGGGCGUAAAGAGCGUGUAGGCGGCUUGGUAGGUCCGCUGUGAAAACUCGAGGCUCAACCUCGAGAUGUCGGCGGAAACCACUUGGCUAGAGUCCGGAAGAGGAGAGUGGAAUUCCUGGUGUAGCGGUGAAAUGCGCAGAUAUCAGGAAGAACACCCGUGGCGAAGGCGGCUCUCUGGGACGGUACUGACGCUGAGACGCGAAAGCGUGGGGAGCAAACAGG